CCCCGUGAACCUUUACUAUAGCUUGACACUGAACAUUGAGCCUUGAUGUGUAGGAUAGGUGGGAGGCUUUGAAGCGUGGACGCCAGUCUGCGUGGAGCCAACCUUGAAAUACCACCCUUUAAUGUUUGAUGUUCUAACGUGGACCCGUAAUCCGGGUUGCGGACAGUGUCUGGUGGGUAGUUUGACUGGGGCGGUCUCCUCCUAAAGAGUAACGGAGGAGCACGAAGGUUGGCUAAUCCUGGUCGGACAUCAGGAGGUUAGUGCAAUGGCAUAAGCCAGCUUGACUGCGAGCGUGACGGCGCGAGCAGGUGCGAAAGCAGGUCAUAGUGAUCCGGUGGUUCUGAAUGGAAGGGCCAUCGCUCAACGGAUAAAAGGUACUCCGGGGAUAACAGGCUGAUACCGCCCAAGAGUUCAUAUCGACGGCGGUGUUUGGCACCUCGAUGUCGGCUCAUCACAUCCUGGGGCUGAAGUAGGUCCCAAGGGUAUGGCUGUUCGCCAUUUAAAGUGGUACGCGAGCUGGGUUUAGAACGUCGUGAGACAGUUCGGUCCCUAUCUGCCGUGGGCGCUGGAGAACUGAGGGGGGCUGCUCCUAGUACGAGAGGACCGGAGUGGACGCAUCACUGGUGUUCGGGUUGUCAUGCCAAUGGCACUGCCCGGUAGCUAAAUGCGGAAGAGAUAAGUGCUGAAAGCAUCUAAGCACGAAACUUGCCCCGA
rnacentral:rRNA from 1 species